rnacentral:rRNA from 1 species
GAUGAACGCUGGCGGCGUGCCUAAUACAUGCAAGUCGAGCGAACGGACGAGAAGCUUGCUUUUCUGAUGUUAGCGGCGGACGGGUGAGUAACACGUGGAUAACCUACCUAUAAGACUGGGAUAACUUCGGGAAACCGGAGCUAAUACCGGAUAAUAUUUUGAACCGCAUGGUUCAAAGGUGAAAGACGGUCUUGCUGUCACUUAUAGAUGGAUCCGCGCUGCAUUAGCUAGUUGGUAAGGUAACGGCUUACCAAGGCAACGAUGGAUAGCCGACCUGAGAGGGUGAUCGGCCACACUGGAACUGAGACACGGUCCAGACUCCUACGGGAGGCAGCAGUAGGGAAUCUUCCGCAAUGGGCGAAAGCCUGACGGAGCAACGCCGCGUGAGUGAUGAAGGUCUUCGGAUCGUAAAACUCUGUUAUUAGGGAAGAACAUAUGUGUAAGUAACUGUGCACAUCUUGACGGUACCUAAUCAGAAAGCCACGGCUAACUACGUG